rnacentral:rRNA from 1 species
UACGGGGGGGGUAAGCGUUGUUCGGAAUUACUGGGCGUAAAGGGCUCGUAGGCGGCCAACUAAGUCGAACGUGAAAUCCCCGGGCUCAACCCGGGAACUGCGUCCGAUACUGGAAGGCUUGAAUCCGGGAGAGGGAUGUGGAAUUCCAGGUGUAGCGGUGAAAUGCGCAGAUAUCAGGAAGAACACCCGUGGCGAAGGCGGCUCUCUGGGACGGUACUGACGCUGAGACGCGAAAGCGUGGGGAGCGAACAGG